rnacentral:tRNA from 1 species
GGGGCUGUAGCUCAGUGGUCCAGCGCUUGCCUCGCAUGCAUGAGGCCCUGGGUUCAAUCCUCAGCGCCACG